rnacentral:rRNA from 1 species
AGAGUUUGAUCCUGGCUCAGGACGAACGCUGGCGGCGUGCCUAAUACAUGCAAGUCGAGCGGAGUCUUUCGGACAGAAGCCUUCGGGCGGACGACUGAAAGACUUAGCGGCGGACGGGUGAGUAACACGUGGGCAACCUGCCCGUAAGUCGGGGAUAACCAGUGGAAACAUUGGCUAAUACCGGAUGUGGUCUUCUUGCUGCAUGGCGAGGAGAAGAAAGAGGGAGCAAUCUCUCGCUUACGGAUGGGCCCGCGGCGCAUUAGCUGGUUGGUGAGGUAACGGCUCACCAAGGCGACGAUGCGUAGCCGACCUGAGAGGGUGAUCGGCCACACUGGGACUGAGACACGGCCCAGACUCCUACGGGAGGCAGCAGUAGGGAAUCUUCCGCAAUGGACGAAAGUCUGACGGAGCAACGCCGCGUGAGCGAAGAAGGUCUUCGGAUCGUAAAGCUCUGUUGUUAGGGAAGAACAAGUACCGGAGUAACUGUCGGUACCUUGACGGUACCUAACCAGAAAGCCACGGCUAACUACGUGCCAGCAGCCGCGGUAAU